rnacentral:rRNA from 1 species
GAUGAACGCUGGCGGCGUGCCUAAUACAUGCAAGUCGAACGAAACUUCUUUAUCACCGAGUGCUUGCACUCACCGAUAAAGAGUUGAGUGGCGAACGGGUGAGUAACACGUGGGCAACCUGCCCAAAAGAGGGGGAUAACACUUGGAAACAGGUGCUAAUACCGCAUAACCAUAGUUACCGCAUGGUAACUAUGUAAAAGGUGGCUAUACUACCGCUUUUGGAUGGGCCCGCGGCGCAUUAGCUAGUUGGUAGGGUAAAGGCUUACCAAGGCAAUGAUGCGGAGCGCAAAUGAGGGGGUGAGCGGCCACAUUAGGACAGAGACACGGACCGAACAACGACGGGGGGCAGCAGUAGGGGAUCGGCAAGAAUGGGCGAAAGUCUGAUGGAGCAACGCUGCGUGGGUGAAGAAGGUCUUCGGACCGUAAAACCCUGUUGUGAGAGAAAAAAGGGCGUGAGAGUAACAGUACACGUUGCGACGGUAGCUAACCAGAAAGCAACGGCUAACUACG